AUGAAAAAUAACAGAACCUAUUCGAUCUUUCGUCGAUACAGUGGCUAAGUCGUACCACACCGAGACACUCUUCGUCUUCGUCUGCGCUUUUUUGUCAAGCUUGACAAGUGGCCAACAUCAAAAUCACUUGCCGCAAACGAAAGACGACACUAAUCUUCGUUUAGAAUACGAAACUUUGAAAACUCGAUUCGAGAGCAUCGAGAUUCAAUUUGACCGGCUGAGAGAGGAAGUCCGACUGCUAAAAACAAAGGCUAGCGAAAAAGAUUUCCAUACGGGUGAUGUCGCCUCAUCUAAAGGUGGAAUUCCAAGAUCUUGUCAUGAAGCCCGAUUGGCUGACCCUUCAUUGUCCACCGGCGUUUACUGGAUCGAUCCCGACGGCCAGGGUGUUGGAGACGAUCCCAUUCAAGUAAAUUGCGACAUGUCUUCAGGAAUGACAAUUAUUGGACACGACACCGAAGCAUCGACAAACGUCGGCCAUUGCACAGAUCCCGGCUGUUAUAGGCCUACGAAACCAAUCGUGUACCAAGCAUCUCACUAAAACAGAUCACUGAUGAUCACUGUGAUUUUAGCAAAGCUUCAACCGACGCAGGAUUUGAAACGUGGAUUGGCUUUGCUGAUGUCAAGUCAUCUUCUGUUUAUUUUGAUGUACAGAGGAAUACGACUUACUCCACUAUUAACUC